GGUUGCGAUCAUACCAGUACUAAUGCACCGGAUCCCAUCAGAACUCCGCAGUUAAGCGUGCCUGGGCGAGAGUAGUACUAGGAUGGGUGACCCCCUGGGAAGUCCUCGUGUUGCAACCC
rnacentral:rRNA from 1 species